GACGAACGCUGGCGGCGUGCUUAACACAUGCAAGUCGAACGGAAAGGCCCUGCUUUUGUUGGGUGCUCGAGUGGCGAACGGGUGAGUAACACGUGAGUAACCUGCCCUUGACUUUGGGAUAACUUCAGGAAACUGGGGCUAAUACCGGAUAGGAGCUCCUGCUGCAUGGUGGGGGUUGGAAAGUUUCGGCGGUUGGGGAUGGACUCGCGGCUUAUCAGCUUGUUGGUGGGGUAGUGGCUUACCAAGGCUUUGACGGGUAGCCGGCCUGAGAGGGUGACCGGCGACAUGGGGACUGAGAGACGGCCCAGACUCCUACGGGAGGCAGCAGUGGGGAAUAUUGCACAAUGGGCGGAAGCCUGAUGCAGCAACGCCGCGUGCGGGAUGACGGCCUUCGGGUUGUAAACCGAUUUCGCCUGUGACGAAGCGUGAGUGACGGUAAUGGGUAAAGAAGCACCGGCUAACUACGUG
rnacentral:rRNA from 1 species